rnacentral:rRNA from 1 species
GUUAAGUGACUAAGCGUACACGGUGGAUGCCUUGGCAGUUGGAGGCGAUGAAGGACGUAUUAACUUGCGAUAAGCCUAGUCAAGCUAGUAAAAAGCACUUGAGACUAGGAUUUCCGAAUGGGGAAACCCACCUGCUUGCAGGUAUCGUUAACUGAAUACAUAGGUUAACGAGGCGAACGCGGAGAACUGAAACAUCUAAGUACCCGUAGGAAAAGAAAUCAACCGAGAUUCCCAAAGUAGCGGCGAGCGAAAUGGGAUUAGCCCUUAAGUUACAGUGGAUUUAGCAGAACGCUCUGGAAAGUGCGGCAAUAGAGGGUGAUAGCCCCGUAUGCGAAAGUGAUGAUGAAGGACUAGAGUAGGGCGGGACACGUGAAAUCCUGUCUGAACAUGGGGGGACCACCCUCCAAGCCUAAAUACUCGUACAUGACCGAUAGCGAACACAGUACCGUGAGGGAAAGGUGAAAAGCACCCCGAU